AGGACGAACGCUGGCGGCGUGCUUAACACAUGCAAGUCGAGCGGAAGGCCCUUCGGGGUACUCGAGCGGCGAACGGGUGAGUAACACGUGAGCAACCUGCCCUGGACUUUGGGAUAACCCUCGGAAACGGGGGCUAAUACCGGAUAUUACUUCUGCCUGCAUGGGUGGUGGUGGAAAGUUUUUCGGUCUGGGAUGGGCUCGCGGACUAUCAGCUUGUUGGUGGGUGAUGGCCUACCAAGGCGACGACGGUUA
rnacentral:rRNA from 1 species